CCAAACAAAAACUUUUUUCAAAAAAGUGUGUGUAAACACGGCUAUAGACAGAUCUAGCUGUCACUAUAAGCCGUGGCUAGAAAGUGCCCCAAAAAGUCAGUUUCUACGUCUUCGCAGAAACUGCUCAGAACUCACAGAUUUUAAUGAACAAGCAGAGUUUUUAAAAAAUAAAUUUAUUGAAAAAAAUUAUUCAGAACCAGAUCUGAAUACUACAAUUAAUACAGUCAAACAAAAAGAACGAAAAGAUCUUCUGACAUAUAAAAAUAAAGAAAACAAUGAAACUAUAUCACUUCC